AUUGAACGCUGGCGGCAGGCCUAACACAUGCAAGUCGAACGGUAACAGGAAGCAGCUUGCUGCUUCGCUGACGAGUGGCGGACGGGUGAGUAAUGUCUGGGAAGCUGCCUGAUGGAGGGGGAUAACUACUGGAAACGGUAGCUAAUACCGCAUAAUGUCGCAAGACCAAAGAGGGGGACCUUCGGGCCUCUUGCCAUCGGAUGUGCCCAGAUGGGAUUAGCUUGUUGGUGGGGUAACGGCUCACCAAGGCGACGAUCCCUAGCUGGUCUGAGAGGAUGACCAGCCACACUGGAACUGAGACACGGUCCAGACUCCUACGGGAGGCAGCAGUGGGGAAUAUUGCACAAUGGGCGCAAGCCUGAUGCAGCCAUGCCGCGUGUAUGAAGAAGGCCUUCGGGUUGUAAAGUACUUUCAGCGGGGAGGAAGGGAGUAAAGUUAAUACCUUUGCUCAUUGACGUUACUCGCAGAAGAAGCACCGGCUAACUCCGUG
rnacentral:rRNA from 1 species